GACCCCAGUGGCUCAUUGGUAGAGCAAUUGCUUGGCAUGCAGAAGGUCCAAGGUUCAAUCCCCAGCAUCUUCA
rnacentral:tRNA from 1 species